CAGCCGCCGCGGUAAUACGGAGGGUGCAAGCGUUAAUCGGAAUUACUGGGCGUAAAGCGCACGCAGGCGGUCUGACAAGUCAGAUGUGAAAUCCCCGGGCUUAACCUGGGAACUGCAUUUGAAACUGUCAGGCUGGAGUCUUGUAGAGGGGGGUGGAAUUCCAGGUGUAGCGGUGAAAUGCGUAGAGAUUUGGAGGAAUACCGGUGGCGAAGGCGGCCCCCUGGACAAAGACUGACGCUCAGGUGCGAAAGCGUGGGGAGCAAACAGGAUUAGAUACCCGGGUAGUCCCUGUCUCUUAUAC
rnacentral:rRNA from 1 species